rnacentral:rRNA from 1 species
CAGUAGCCGCGGGAAUACGUAGGGUGCGAGCGUUAAUCGGAAUUACUGGGCGUAAAGCGUGCGCAGGCGGUUCGUUAAGACAGAUGUGAAAUCCCCGGGCUUAACCUGGGAACUGCAUUUGUGACUGGCGAGCUAGAGUAUGGCAGAGGGGGGUAGAAUUCCACGUGUAGCAGUGAAAUGCGUAGAGAUGUGGAGGAAUACCGAUGGCGAAGGCAGCCCCCUGGGCCAAUACUGACGCUCGUGCACGAAAGCGUGGGGAGCAAACAGGAUUAGAUACCCCGGUAGUCCCUGUCUCUUAUAC